UACAGAGGCCCCAAGCGUUACUGAGAAUCACUGGGUUUAAAGGGUGCGUAGGUGGUUAGGUAAGUCCGAUGUGAAAUCUCCAGGCUCAACCUGGAAAUGGCAUUGGAUACUAUUUAGCUUGAGGAGUGGAGGGGGGACUGGAAUUCUCGGUGUAGCAGUGAAAUGCGUAGAUAUCGAGAGGAACACCAGUGGCGAAGGCGAGUCCCUGGACACUUCCUGACACUGAGGCACGAAAGCUAGGGGAGCAAACAGG
rnacentral:rRNA from 1 species